GAUGAACGCUGACAGAAUGCUUAACACAUGCAAGUCCACUUGAACUUCGGUUUGGGUGGCGGACGGGUGAGUAACGCGUAAAGAACUUGCCUCACAGAUAGGGACAACAUUUGGAAACGAAUGCUAAUACCUGAUAUUAUGAUUAUAUGGCAUCGUAUAAUUAUGAAAGCUAUAUGCGCUGUGAGAGAGCUUUGCGUCCCAUUAGCUAGUUGGAGAGGUAACGGCUCACCAAGGCGAUGAUGGGUAGCCGGCCUGAGAGGGUGAUCGGCCACAAGGGGACUGAGACAGGGCCCUUACUCCUACGGGAGGCAGCAGUGGGGAAUAUUGGACAAUGGACCAAGAGUCUGAUCCAGCAAUUCUGUGUGCACGAUGAAGUUUUUCGGAAUGUAAAGUGCUUUCAGUUGGGAAGAAAAAAAUGACGGUACCAACAGAAGAAGUGACGGCUAAAUACGUG
rnacentral:rRNA from 1 species